AAAAUUCGUUGGCUUUAUAGACCGUGAGGGUUCGAGUCC
rnacentral:tRNA from 1 species